rnacentral:rRNA from 1 species
UACAGGGGGUGCAAACGUUGCUCGGAAUCAUUGGGCGUAAAGCGCACGUAGGCGGUCUGUUAUGUCGGAUGUGAAAGCCCUUGGCUCAACUGAGGAAGUGCAUCCGAAACUGGCAGGCUAAGAGUACUAAAGAGGGUCGCGGAAUUCCCGGUGUAGAGGUGAAAUUCGUAGAUAUCGGGAGGAACACCGGUGGCGAAGGCGGCGACCUGGGUAGAUACUGACGCUGAGGUGCGAAACGUGGGGAGCAAACAGG